GUUUCAAAUACUGCGUGGGAUAACAAUUUUUACAGCUAGAGGUCUCUCAGUGCGCAUCUUUUGACUUUCACUUUUGGGGAUGAGCAAAUUGUGAAAACUUCUUUACUCAAGACAGGUUCAAUUUUGAAGUUUACGACAUCGAAAUUUUAUUGUUUCUUUUUUUUAGCUGGCACGUUUUCGACGCAUGAACGCCUCUGUUGUUUAAUUGUCCAAUCAUUUAACCUGCUUAUAUUGCCGGUAGAGUCAAUGUUCCGAGCCAGCGGCUAAAGUCUAAGUCACCUUUGAUAAAUUGAUUGUUUUCAUUCGAAACUACUAAAUCUUUCCUUUACUUUAUUCAUCCUCACAACCUAUCUAGAUACCCCAUUACUUAACGACGUACAAGUUGGAGACCCAUUAACGCCGGUUCCAAUUUCCUGCCUGCCAAUAUUGCUAAAAAACUUCAAAAAUUUGACUAAAUCUGAGGCCAAAACUACUUUCUAUUCAAUCAUUCAUUGGUCGUCCUAAAAAAUCAACCUCAAAAUAGAACUAAAUUGUUUCCUUUAUUGCUCUCAGAUCCCUCGAAACAUGCAAAAAGUUACCUCAAUCAUAGCGUUGUGCCUCCUGACCUUGAUACUAUCCGUGAGAUGUGGCAAUCGCCUUGUGUCCUCGUUCGCCAGCAAUGACAUCGACCCCUACCCCUUUAUGAAGAGAAGUGGCGACUGUGAGAUGGGGCUCUGUGUGAUGAGAAGACUCACGAGGAGUCGUGGUUUUCGAAACCAGAUGGGGACACUCUAUGGGGACAAUCAUAUACCAGUGCGACUGAGAAGAGAGGCGUGGGUAUGGAGGAAUGAAGGAGAGUUAUCAAAAUAGUUUCCGAACUGACGACUAAUGAGCAAAUCAAAUCAUGAAUUGAAAGUCACUUAUAACGAGCCUAACAUUAUGAUGAGUCCCUGAAAGCAAUUCAAAAAAAUCAAUGAUAUUUUUGAAAUUAAAAGUGAUUGAUAUUGAGCAGCUGUAGGAAAAUUUUGCAUGAAAAAUUUUAUUCUGAAAAAAUAAAAUGUAAUCAUGCAUGAUGACAUUUAAAAUUUUCUUUUGCUGAUUGAACUAAUUCUUUAUAAACUAACGAGCUUUGGCGACUGAACAGGCCAAAUUUUUUUUUCAAAUUGUAGAACAAAAUCAAAAAAUUUGAAUGUGAGGCUUAGACCUCAGAAGAGAUAUACAAACGAGACCUGCGUAUUGAUAUUGGCCCACACUUUGAUGUCAGGAUGUCGCAAGAUGUAACAGCGGACAUA